rnacentral:rRNA from 1 species
UACGAAGGGUGCAAGCGUUACUCGGAAUUACUGGGCGUAAAGGGUGCGUAGGUGGUUUGUUAAGUCUGCUGUGAAAUCCCCGGGCUCAACCUGGGAAUGGCAGUGGAUACUGGCAAGCUAGAGUGCGGUAGAGGGUAGUGGAAUUCCCGGUGUAGCAGUGAAAUGCGUAGAGAUCGGGAGGAACACCAGUGGCGAAGGCGGCUACCUGGACCAGCACUGACACUGAAGCACGAAAGCGUGGGGAGCAAACGGG